GCCCUGAUGGCUCAGUUGGUUAGAGCGCAGGUCUCAUACUACUUGUGUGACCGGUAUCGUUACCGGGUAAUCCUGAGGUCGCAAGUUCGAACCUUGCUCAGGGCA
rnacentral:tRNA from 1 species